GCUGGGUGCAGUGGUGCACACCUGUAAUCCCAGCAGUUCAGGAGGCUGAGGCAGGAGGAUCAGGAGUUCAAAGCCAGCCUCAGCAAUAGUGAGGUGCUAAGCAACUAAGUGAGACCCUGUCUCUA
rnacentral:sRNA from 1 species